UUCUUUCAAGUCUUUCAUUCUCUACUCACUUUGUUCUCAUAUUAUCCAGCUCUUGUAAUCUGUUCCACUCUUGUUCUCCUGCUCUAAUUCCUGUAAGUGUAUUCUACAGCCAUAAUAAUACAUUUGCAAUUGCCAAAAUUGUUGUUCCAUACUCUGCUUUACGCUCAAAUUUCGUGCUUACUCUUGAAAUUUUUUCAUAAUGUUUAAAUCUAAAUCUUCCGUGAGCUCUAGGUCCACUUUCUCUGCUGAAGAUGAUAACUCUGUUAAAUUUGAUAAAUGGAAUAUCCCUAAGCUCUCCACUAAGAAGAUUUAUACUACUUGUUGGUUAAAAAGUGUUUUUAAAGCCGAACGUGAUAUUAAAACUGUUGAAAAAACUUUUGCUAUAACUAGUAAUAAUGAAAAAUAUGAAUUAUUUGAUAAAAAAGUUAUUAAUGAUGCUCUGGUUAAAGGCUAUAAGUUUUUGCAUAUUGGAGCUGUUCAAAUUGCUGUUAAACCACUAGCCAAGCUAGAUACUAAUGCUUCCGUUAUGCUUUGUCUUCGUGAUGCUAGAUUUAUUGAUUUCCAGACUAGUACUCUUGGUAUGAUGCAAUCUUCUUUGUUUAAUGUACCAAUCUAUUUUAAUAUUUUCCCUAACGAACUUCUCUCUUUGACUGAUGUUCAUAUUACUAAAGCAUUGACUUUAAAUGUUUUGACUUCUGGUUGUGACAUGGAAGAAGGUAGAAGACCUCUUGCUGUCAUCUACCGCAUUUAUUACAAAUUGCUAAAAGACAAGUUAAAUCCUCACGCUGUUAUCAAAAGUUCUGGGAACUCUGCUAUGUUAAUUCAAAGUUCCACACAAGAAGCUAAAAUAUAUGUUCCUAAAAUGAUCCAAAGGAAUGAAAUUGACUCUCCUAAGGAGUGGAUUUUAGAAAAUGUUUGCGAGCCUGGUAUAGCAGAGGAAACCACUUAUCCUGGUUGCAAUAUCCAACAAAAUUUAGAUGGAUCUGUUAAAAUUAGGUUUUUCUGAUUUAAAUCUGUCUAAUAGAAGAGAAAGACCAUUAACUAUUAAUUAGGGUUGUAAAUUUGGACAUGUUAUAACCGGGUUGUCUUCUCGCCAUUCCUGAAUCUUCACGCCAUUCUUCACGCUUGCCUUCUUGAAUCUUCAUUCCUUUCCUCUGUUUCUUUGUUUGCUUUUUGCUUUCCUUCACAACACACACGGACCGAGACCUAAGAGUUGCUGCUGCUACGGUUACUGUCAAAGAAGUGAAGAACUCAAGAGAGAGCAAGAGUUCUAGAUUAAGAUUUGGUUAUCUCUGAAGCAGAUGGGGCAAAGGAAGUAGACGGUUAGUUAUAGAUGAUUGGGAGUAGACUUGCAGAAAGCUAGAAACCGGACCAACCGGACCAUGCUUGGAUAUGUUUAAUAUGUUUAUAAACUAUGGUUAUGAACUUUUUUUUAAUAUGUUUAUGAACUUUUUUAAUAUGUUUAUGGACUCUCGGGUUUGUACUUUUUUAAUAGGUUUAUGAACUUUUGGGUUUGUAAUAUGUAAUUUUGUAUGGAUGUGGAAUUUCCUUGA